UGUCGAGCAACGAAAUGGAGCCGUGGGCAACGGCCCUUUCCCUCUUACCUUGAUUAUAGUAUCACACCCAUAACACAGAUCGUAAUCGCUCAUAAAGGUUAUUGCUUUGCUGAAUUUGGUUUGAUUGGUUUGUUUUGAUGAUUUUUUAUCUAGAUUAAGUGCAGGUACUACACGUAAUCGGCUGGCAAUAGCUCCUUAGCAUCUUAAGAAGUCUCGCAAGCUUGAUGUCUUAUCUGUUGAACAACAUUUUUAUUUAUUUUGAUCCCUCCUGUGGAUACUAUUCAACUAUAUGUGAUACAAUCGAU
rnacentral:lncRNA from 1 species